CAGCAGAGAGCACGGAGCCGCGAGCCCAGACAGCAGCGCAUGCCCCGAACUCUCUGCCACC
ensembl:miRNA mdo-mir-7280 mdo-mir-7280